GUGCUCGCUUCAGCAGCACAUAUACCAAAAUUGGAACAAUCCAGAGAGGAUUAACAUGGCCCCUGAGCAAGGAUGCCAUGCAAAUUCAUGAAGUGGUCCAUAUAUAU
ensembl:snRNA U6 U6 spliceosomal RNA